rnacentral:rRNA from 1 species
GACUACCGGGGUAUCUAAUCCUGUUUGCUACCCACGCUUUCGUGACUCAGCGUCAGUUACAGUCCAGUAAGCCGCCUUCGCCACCGGUGUUCCUCCUAAUAUCUACGCAUUUCACCGCUACACUAGGAAUUCCGCUUACCUCUCCUGCACUCAAGUUAUGCAGUUUCAAAUGCUAACGCAAGUUAAGCCCGCGCCUUUUACAUCUGACAUACAUAACCGCCUACUCACCCUUUACGCCCAGUAAAUCCGGACAACGCUCGCCCCCUACGUAUUACCGCGGCUGCUGGCACGUAGUUAGCCGGGGCUUCCUCCUUGGUUACCGUCAUUAUCUUCACCAAGGACAGAGUUUUACGAUCCGAAGACCUUCUUCACUCACGCGGCGUCGCUGCAUCAGAGUUCCCUCCAUUGUGCAAUAUUCCCCACUGCAGCCUCCCGUAGG